rnacentral:rRNA from 1 species
GACGAACGCUGGCGGCGUGCCUAAUACAUGCAAGUUGAGCGCUGAAGGUUGGUACUUGUACCGACUGGAUGAGCAGCGAACGGGUGAGUAACGCGUGGGGAAUCUGCCUUUGAGCGGGGGACAACAUUUGGAAACGAAUGCUAAUACCGCAUAAAAACUUUAAACACAAGUUUUAAGUUUGAAAGAUGCAAUUGCAUCACUCAAAGAUGAUCCCGCGUUGUAUUAGCUAGUUGGUGAGGUAAAGGCUCACCAAGGCGAUGAUACAUAGCCGACCUGAGAGGGUGGUCGGCCACAUUGGGACUGAGACACGGCCCAAACUCCUUCGGGAGGCAGCAGUAGGGAAUCUUCGGCAAUGGACGAAAGUCUGACCGAGCAACGCCGCGUGAGUGAAGAAGGUUUUCGGAUCGUAAAACUCUGUUGGUAGAGAAGAACGUUGGUGAGAGUGGAAAGCUCAUCAAGUGACGGUAACUACCCAGAAAGGGACGGCUAACUACGUG